UGUAACAAUCUUUGACAACUCAUUAGAAUUUAAUUUGUUACAGUAUUUUUCCUUUCUAGGUCAUUUAGGGAGAAGACAGUGGUCUAAUUCUCUAAGUAAAAGAAGAUGAAAAUUUAAACAAAUCAAAUGCACAGAUGACAUCCAGUCACUGAAAUAUUGCUUAGAGUUUAAAGAGGACAGAUCUGCAUGGAUCUGAGGACUGGCCAUGGACUUGAAGCUGACAGGAACUGAUCCAAACCUAGAGGCAGUCUGUGAGUGGUAUGAGGCCACUAGACUCUCCUCCACCUCCAAUGGCUGUGGUGAGACAGCACCAUCAAAGGCAUGCUACAAUCUGCCAUGUUUGGACCAAGAUGCUGGUGAGAUCUGAGAUCUGUCCCAUCUGGAAAUCCCAAGAAGGUGGUAUUUAAAAAUUCCCUCUGUGAGGAAGAAUUGUAGGAGCCAGUGGGGGUGGGGUCAAGCACUCCACAAGAAAACUCACAGAUCUGGGCUUCUAGGGGCUCACAGAGACUGAACGGCAACCA